CCUACGGGUGGCAGCAGUGGGGGAUAUUGCACAAUGGGGGGAACCCUGAUGCAGCGACGCCGCGUGGGUGAAGAAGCGCCUCGGCGCGUAAAGCCCUGUCAGCAGGGAAGAAAAUGACGGUACCUGAAGAAGAAGCCCCGGCUAACUACGUGCCAGCAGCGGCGGCAAUACGUAGGGGGCAAGCGUUAUCCGGAUUUACUGGGUGUAAAGGGGGCGCAGUCGGCGAUGCAAGCCAGGAGUGAAAGCCCGGGGACCAACCCCGGGACGGCUGUUGGAACUGCGUGGCUGGAGUGCGGUAGGGGCAGGCGGAAUUCCUGGUGUAGCGGUGAAAUGCGUAGAUAUCAGGAGGAACACCGGUGGCGAAGGCGGCCUGCUGGACUGCAACUGACGUUGAGGCCCGAAAGCGUGGGGAGCAAACAGGAUUAGAUACCCCAGUAGUC
rnacentral:rRNA from 1 species